AGAGUUUGAUCAUGGCUCAGAACAAACGCUGGCGGCGUGUCUUAAGCAUGCAAGUUGAGCGGCAAGGGGGAGCGAUCCCCCCUAGAGCGGCGGACUGGUGAGUAACACGUGGAUGAUCUACCCGAGGCAUGGGGAUAGUCACUAGAAAUAGUGGGUAAUACCGAAUACGGUGCGCAUCGUGAGGGUGCGCAAGAAAGGUGCUACGGCACCGGCCUAGGAUGAGUCUGCGUCCCAUUAGCUGGUUGGUGAGGUAAGAGCCCACCAAGGCGAUGAUGGGUAGCCGGCCUGAGAGGGUGUACGGCCACACUGGGACUGAGAUACGGCCCAGACUCCUACGGGAGGCAGCAGCUAAGAAUAUUCCGCAAUGGACGAAAGUCUGACGGAGCGACGCCGCGUGGAUGAAGAAGGCCGAAAGGUUGUAAAGUUCCUUUGUUGGGGAAGAAUAACUAUGGGAGGGAAUGCCCGUGGGAUGACAUGAACCGACGAAUAAGCCCCGGCUAACUACGUGCCAGCAGCCGCGGUAACACGUAGGGGGCGAGCGUUGUUCGGAAUUACUGGGCGUAAAGGGCAUGUAGGCGGUCUUGUAAGCUUGGCGUGAAAGACCACGGCUCAACCGUGGGAUUGCGUUGAGAACUGCGAGGCUUGAGUGACGGAGAGGGAGCUAGAAUUCCUGGUGUAGGGGUGGAAUCUGUAGAGAUCAGGAAGAAUACCAAUGGCGAAGGCAAGCUCCUGGCCGAUGACUGACGCUGAGGUGCGAAAGUGUGGGGAUCAAACAGGAUUAGAUACCCUGGUAGUCCACACUGUAAACGAUGUGCACUAGGUGCUGGUACGGAUGUAUCAGUGCCGUAGCUAACGUGAUAAGUGCACCGCCUGGGGAGUAUGCUCGCAAGGGUGAAACUCAAAUGAAUUGACGG
rnacentral:rRNA from 1 species